rnacentral:rRNA from 1 species
UGCAGUCGAGCGGAUGAAGAGAGCUUGCUCUCUGAUUCAGCGGCGGACGGGUGAGUAAUGCCUAGGAAUCUGCCUGGUAGUGGGGGACAACGUUUCGAAAGGAACGCUAAUACCGCAUACGUCCUACGGGAGAAAGCAGGGGACCUUCGGGCCUUGCGCUAUCAGAUGAGCCUAGGUCGGAUUAGCUAGUUGGUGAGGUAAUGGCUCACCAAGGCGACGAUCCGUAACUGGUCUGAGAGGAUGAUCAGUCACACUGGAACUGAGACACGGUCCAGACUCCUACGGGAGGCAGCAGUGGGGAAUAUUGGACAAUGGGCGAAAGCCUGAUCCAGCCAUGCCGCGUGUGUGAAGAAGGUCUUCGGAUUGUAAAGCACUUUAAGUUGGGAGGAAGGGCAUGCACCUAAUACGUGUGUGUCUUGACGUUACCGACAGAAUAAGCACCGGCUAACUCUGUGCCAGCAGCCGCGGUAAUACAGAGGGUGCAAGCGUUAAUCGGAAUUACUGGGCGUAAAGCGCGCGUAGGUGGUUCGUUAAGUUGAAUGUGAAAUCCCCGGGCUCAACCUGGGAACUGCAUCCAAAACUGGCGAGCUAGAGUAUGGUAGAGGGUGGUGGAAUUUCCUGUGUAGCGGUGAA